rnacentral:rRNA from 1 species
AGCGAACGCUGGCGGCAGGCUUAACACAUGCAAGUCGAGCGCCCCGCAAGGGGAGCGGCAGACGGGUGAGUAACACGUGGGAACGUGCCUUUUGGUUCGGAACAACCCAGGGAAACUUGGGCUAAUACCGGAUAAGCCCUUACGGGGAAAGAUUUAUCGCCAAAAGAUCGGCCCGCGUCUGAUUAGCUAGUUGGUGGGGUAACGGCCCACCAAGGCUACGAUCAGUAGCUGGUCUGAGAGGAUGAUCAGCCACAUUGGGACUGAGACACGGCCCAAACUCCUACGGGAGGCAGCAGUGGGGAAUAUUGGACAAUGGGGGCAACCCUGAUCCAGCCAUGCUGCGUGAGUGAUGAUGGCCUUAGGGUUGUAAAGCUCUUUUAGCAGGGAAGAUAAUGACGGUACCUGCAGAAAAAGCCCCGGCUAACUUCGUGCCAGCAGCCGCAGUAA